AAUGGGUCAGCGACUUAUAUUCUGUAGCAAGGUUAACCGAAUAGGGGAGCCGAAGGGAAACCGAGUCUUAACUGGGCGUUAAGUUGCAGGGUAUAGACCCGAAACCCGGUGAUCUAGCCAUGGGCAGGUUGAAGGUUGGGUAACACUAACUGGAGGACCGAACCGACUAAUGUUGAAAAAUUAGCGGAUGACUUGUGGCUGGGGGUGAAAGGCCAAUCAAACCGGGAGAUAGCUGGUUCUCCCCGAAAGCUAUUUAGGUAGCGCCUCGUGAAUUCAUCUCCGGGGGUAGAGCACUGUUUCGGCAAGGGGGUCAUCCCGACUUACCAACCCGAUGCAAACUGCGAAUACCGGAGAAUGUUAUCACGGGAGACACACGGCGGGUGCUAACGUCCGUCGUGAAGAGGGAAACAACCCAGACCGCCAGCUAAGGUCCCAAAGUCAUGGUUAAGUGGGAAACGAUGUGGGAAGGCCCAGACAGCCAGGAUGUUGGCUUAGAAGCAGCCAUCAUUUAAAGAAAGCGUAAUAGCUCACUGGUCGAGUCGGCCUGCGCGGAAGAUGUAACGGGGCUAAACCAUGCACCGAAGCUGCGGCAGCGACGCUUAUGCGUUGUUGGGUAGGGGAGCGUUCUGUAAGCCUGCGAAGGU
rnacentral:rRNA from 1 species